rnacentral:misc_RNA from 1 species
GAACUGCGAUAAGUAAUGUGAAUUGCAGAAUUCAGUGAAUCAUCGAGUCUUUGAACGCAUAUUGCGCCCCCUGGCAUUCCGGGGGGCAUGCCUGUCCGAGCGUCAUUGCUGCCCUUCAAGCCCGGCUUGUGUGUUGGGUCGUCGUCCCCUCCGGGGGACGUGCCCGAAAGGCAGCGGCGGCACCGCGUCCGGUCCUCGAGCGUAUGGGGCUUUGUCACCCGCUCGAUAAGGACCGGCCGGGCGCCAGCCGGCGUCUCCAACCUUUUUUUCUCAGGUUGACCUCGGAUCAGGUAGGGAUACCCGCUGAACUUAAGC